AAGAAAGCUCGCAAGGAUUGCUAACCCAUGCCUCCGUACCUAAAACUACGGCUUUCUCA
rnacentral:tRNA from 1 species